rnacentral:lncRNA from 1 species
CUUUGUUCCCAUGUUCUGCAUGGUAUGAAGUGUAACAAGGGUGAGGGGUUUAGUGGGGGAGCAUAAUAUGCUUCCGGCACAUACCUAAUCUCCUCCAUGCUCUCCUGUCAUAUCUGGACAGAAUGCGUAGAGAUUUUACGGCUUUAGGGACACGGAAGCAAUGGAAAGUUACAGAUUAUUGCCAUCGGGGCUUGCAUUGUAUGCCUGAAAUCUCCUGCUGGUUUCCUGCGAGGUGACCGGACAGGGAUGACAGCACAUAGACCUUUUGGGAGGUCUGAAAUUGCUCGGACCCAACUAGCUAGAUCUGGACAUUCUUGGAAUAUGACUGUGCGGUGGUAACAUGGGAUGGGAGGACUGUUUGUUUAGUACCUUCAGUCUUGUGACUUUACCAUGUUUACAGUGCAGCUCUGCAAUUUUGCACAUAAAAGAGAGGGUGAACUCCCUCAUCUCAAUACUCCCAACAUUGAGGGCUUUUACUGUCUUUACAAACUGUUUGUUUGUCGAUGGCUUCUCCCAUCUCAACAAGCCUGUUUUCUAAGUCCAGGGGUGAUGCAUGCUUGGACAGAUGCAUGUCCAAGUGUGAGCCAGCUGCCAGGUUUCAGUGACCUCUGUCUGGUGUUAACAGAGCUUUGACAUGGCCAUGGAAAUGGUCGUUCAUGGGUGGAUGAGUGACAGCAGUGGUUUUCAGCUCACAGCGGUGGUCAGAGCUGCCUGGAAUAGCACACCCAUGUGAUCAACAGUCUAUUUGUAGGUGUGUGUACAGAGCGGGCUGCACUUACACGGGUGUCUCAAGAGAAGAGUGCAGUGAGGGGUCUGCUCUCUCGCUCUGUCGCACGCUCGUUGUCUAUGCCGGUGAAGUUUCACAGGUACUUUCAUUAUUCUGUUAGGCCUGUCUCUGAGCUCGGACCUCCAACGCGUCCAAGAGAAGUACCAUGGUUUUGAAGAAGCUGGCAGUCCUGGGGAAGCAGCUCCUGCGAGUGAAGGUGGUGGACUGCAGCAAUGAAGACACGCGCCUCUCACGCUGCCUCAACACCUUCGACCUGGUGGCGCUGGGCGUGGGCAGCACUCUGGGAGCAGGGGUCUACGUGCUGGCAGGCGCUGUGGCACGGGACAACGCCGGUCCUGCCAUCGUCAUCUCUUUCCUCGUUGCUGCGGCAGCGUCCGUGCUGGCUGGCCUGUGCUAUGCAGAGUUUGGCGCCCGUGUACCCAAGACUGGCUCUGCAUAUUUGUACAGCUAUGUGACGGUGGGCGAACUCUGGGCCUUCAUCACAGGAUGGAACCUCAUCCUCUCCUACAUCAUUGGGACGUCCAGCGUGGCACGUGCCUGGAGUGCCACAUUUGACGAGCUCAUUGGGAAUCACAUUGAGCAGUUUUGUCGUACCUACCUGAGCAUGCACGUGCCAGGCGUCCUUGCAGAGUACCCUGAUAUGUUUGCUGUGCUCAUCAUCCUCACGCUGACAGGUUUGCUGGCCUUUGGGGUGAAGGAGUCUGCUAUGGUCAAUAAGGUGUUCACCUGCAUCAAUGUCCUGGUGCUGCUCUUCAUGGUGGUGUCGGGCUUGGUCAAGGGCACACUCAAGAACUGGAACCUGGACCCCAGCAACAUUCUCAAUACUACUAAUUCUUCGUUCAACUCAUCGCUGCAGCUGCCAUCGAAGGAGAGCCUUGGAGUAGGAGGUUUUAUGCCCUUUGGCUUCACUGGAGUGCUGUCAGGUGCUGCUACCUGCUUCUAUGCCUUUGUGGGCUUCGACUGCAUUGCCACCACAGGGGAGGAGGUGAAAAACCCCCAGCGGGCCAUCCCCAUUGGCAUAGUUGCCUCACUCCUCAUCUGCUUUGUGGCCUACUUUGGCGUGUCAGCCGCCCUCACCAUGAUGAUGCCCUACUACCUGCUGGACAAGAUGAGCCCAUUGCCUGUGGCCUUCAAGUAUGUGGGCUGGGAGGGGGCCACCUAUGCAGUGGCAGUGGGUUCACUUUGCGCCCUGUCCACCAGCCUGCUCGGUGCCAUGUUUCCCAUGCCCAGAGUCAUCUGGGCCAUGGCAGAGGACGGCUUGCUCUUCAAAUUUAUCGCCAAAAUCAGCUCGAGAACCAAAACCCCCUUAAUCGCUACUUUAACAGCGGGUGCCGUGGCAGCGGUGAUGGCCUUUCUGUUUGACCUCAAGGACCUGGUGGAUCUCAUGUCUAUUGGCACACUAUUGGCAUACACUCUGGUGGCAGCCUGUGUCCUGGUCCUCCGGUACCAGCCGGAGCAGCCCAUCCAGCUGUACCAGAUGGCCAACACACAAGAUGAGAUGGAACUCAGCGAGUCCAUCGGCACCCUCAGCAUGGGCAUUCUUCCAGGCAUGGAAGAGCGCCUCAGCUUGAAGAACGUGUUCUUUCCUGAAAACCCAGAACCCUCAAAACUGUCUAGCUUUGUUGUCAAUGUCAGCACCAGCAUACUAGGAUUCCUCAUUGUUGUAUUUAGUGUACUAGCAGUUCAAGGAGGGCUUGCACUUUGGAAUGUGAUACUCCUGAGUGUUCUGGUUGUAACCUGCCUGGGCCUCACGCUGGUCAUCUGGAGACAGCCAGAGAGCAGGACGAAGCUGUCUUUUAAGGUCCCCCUGCUGCCUUUCAUCCCAGUGAUCAGCAUGUUUGCCAACGUGUACCUUAUGAUGCAGCUUGACAGGGGUACCUGGAUCCGCUUUGCUGUAUGGAUGGCUAUAGGCCUGGUGAUCUACUUCACCUACGGGAUUUGGCACAGUACAGAAGCUAUUAUGGCCCGUUCCAGUGUUGAGGUCAACCUCAAUGGCUACAAGCCCGCCAGUACUACGGAGAAUCCUAUAGCCCCUGAGAAAGCGGCUUUUCUUGGUGUGGGGAGCGAAGAUGACGGGGAUCUCUAAGGAUCCUGGGGCACUGCCAGCUCCCUGAUUUCCCCCCAUCUAACUUUCUUGUAUUUUGAAAGCAAAUUGUGAUGCUUGAAUGACAUGUUUCAGUCAAAAAAGAGAUUACGGGCAAAUCAAAGGGAACCCAGGCUAACUGAGUUCGGACCGGCCCAAAUCAAAAAAAACACAAUAUUUCAUUUAUUUAUUUUUUGUUUUGUUUUAUGUGGAGAGCAUUUUGCAGUUGCAAAUAAGCUGUCUGUUUUGUUGUUAAUUUUAGAAUGGCAAAUGGAUUACAGCACUCUAGUAUGCAUUAAUAUACAGGUGGUCCUUGACGUACGAUGGGGUUACGUUCCAUGAAACCCAUCAUAAGUCAAAAAUAUUGUAAGUCGAAAAUGCAUUUAAUACACCUGACCUACCGAACAUCAUAGCCUAGCAUACAUGCGAUGGCCAUUACAGGCUUGCCACCUUUAUGCUGGGCACCCUCCUCCUCCUCUUCCCACCAGUAGCAGGAGACACAGAUAGGCAUUUCUGUGACAUUAUGGAUGCACAAAACACAACGUAUAUACCAGGGGGUAUCUGUAUAGCAACCAUGUGACAGACUGGGAGAUGCAGAUUGCUGCCGUUUUCCAGCAUUACAAGAGUAUCGCACUGCAUAUCACUUGCCUGGGGAAAAAGAAAAAAAAUCUAAAUUCAAAGUAUGGUUUCUACUGAACUUCUAUUGCCAGCUCACCAUCGUAAAGUCAAAAAAUCGUAAAUUGGACCAUUGUAAGUCAAGGAGCAUCUGUACGCAGACAUGCAGUUUCUGUUUCUUGGCUGUUAAUUAGGUCCAUUUGCCUUUCUAUUUUGGAAUUCAGUUGACAAAUGUUGCAUAAUUAUUUUAAAGGGCCUUUCUGUCCUCAACUGGCUCAAGAUUCAUCUUUGUGAUUAAAAGCUAUUUCUAGCAAUAGCUGGCUUUUUUUGGGUAGACAACAGUACGGGUUGUUGAAAUGCCUCAGUUCAGUUGGUGUUCUAUGCCAGUAGGGGACCCAAAAAAUAGCACAGAGUGAGCAAUGAUUGUAUUACAUCAAUAAUCAGGUACUGUGUGCCAACCCUGAGGAACCUCAAGUUCAUAACUACAAACAGCUCUUGGGCUGCUAUACUGUUAACUGUAUCAGGGAACGGCUCAUUUUUCACAAGAGACUUUUAUGCUUCAAAGUGCAAUUUUUUUUUAAAGACUACUGAAUGUGACACCUGUCAUUUCUCAUUGAAGAACCGACUGUACAACAUAACAGGUUACUUCAUUUGCAUUAUCUGAGGGCUGACCUGUAAUGUGAGAAUGCAGCUGUGAUGUACUAGUAAAUUAGUAAACCAGUUCUUUGUCUUUGAGUAUUGAAAUGUUAGUGAAAUACAGGCCGUGUGAAUGGAAAGGUUCCCAGCGAACAUUGUUGUAGUAUUUUCACUAUUGCACAGCACUAUGCAGUCUCCCACAUAGAAGUUUAACUCUGAUAGUAGCUAACAGGACAUUUUGUACUGGGAUUACAGUGCUGGUAAUUGUGUCUCAGCUGAAUCAAAUUAAUUUUAUGAUCUGCUAUCCCUUAAAACACAAAUAUGAAAUAUAUUUAAAAAGUUAUACUCUAGAUUUGGAUAUAGAAAAGAAUAGUCUAUUUUAUAAUAAAACCAUAAACUUUAUAUUCA